GUUUCAGUGCCAUAACUGGGCCUGAAGCCAGAUUGAAAGAGGUCUAGAUACAGAAAAGAUUAGUAUGGUUCCUGUAAAAGGAUGACACACACAUUUGUGAAGCAUUAAAUAAUAAA
rnacentral:snRNA from 1 species